CGGGGGUCAGUGGAAUAUUCAAAUAUCUAACAUGUCACAGACGACUGACGAGACAAAUAAAUCCUCAGAAUACUUCUGUAACGGUGGGUUGACAACGAUUAUUACCAAUAGGUGGACCUUGCUGAGCAAGGUUUUGUGGAUUGGAUAAGGUAUUUGAGUAUUACAAGCAUAAUAAUCAUCACUGGAUCAAAAAUCAUAAUCCAGUGUCGUCUAUAGUGUAUAUGUUGUCAACUCAACGCGAGCGAACGAGCGAGUGUCUGUGCGCUUGGUUUGUGCCAUCCACCAUAGAUUUAAGACUAACACUUUAGUUACUCAUUUUACUGUUUGUCUAUAGUUUAUUCGCGUUAGAAAAUCAGUGGGGUAUCAGUAUUGAUCGGCAGUUAGACAAGUAAGUUUUUUAAAUUUGAUUGGCUUGUUCUGUAAAAGCGAAUGGUCUGACCCCGCGCUGCUUUCUAAACACGAGUUGACGGUUUAUGCUGAGGCCAAAUGUUCCGAACAUUUCCAACAUGAGAAGUGUUAUUUUCGUUUCAUAAUAGCGGAUAAUAAACAAAGCUUUUCAUGGCUACGCAUCCUACGAUCAAAUAAUAUGAUAUCAACAUUACUUAGCAAAGUUGUAAUCUGUGAUAAAACGAACACGCUUCUUAUAAUUAUUUAUUUUAAAGCUUGGUGUACCACUCGCCGACAGAUCUGGUAUACCUUUAGUAUGUUAACAACACAAGUAGUACUUCGCAUCGAUUAUGAUGUAAAAUUUAUGCCGUUCACAUAAACCAUUUGGCCUCAGGCGUUAGUGUAACUUAGAUAUCUCACAGAAUCUUGCCUGCCAACACUCUAAAGUGCCUUAGUGUAGAUAAAAUAGCUUCGCUUAUUCAUAUCAUUCGUUUAAUGCUAGUUCUUAAUAUAUAACGCUACUGGGCGACCGAAACACAUUUAGAGUAGUAAUAGUAUCAUUUUUCGUUCUUAUCAUGCAUUAGACGCAUGUUUUAUACUUAUGGAGGGUAGAAAUCAAUUAUUAUAAUUAUUAGAAUAUUUGAGGUGGUACAGCCAGUUGGUUUGUAUUAUCCAGAACACUUGUGUGAGUGUGUCUGAACAUCAUCAUGUUUCGUUAUGGCGCUAUGGUACCGACAUUUCGGUAUGUUUGAUUUCGCGACAAAGAACACAGCGUGUUACGUGGACCUUGUAGGCUGUUUGCACUAUCUCGCACGAUCUAAUCUUUAAUUUAGGAUAAUGUAUAAAAGUACUGCAUAUGUAAUAUGUAUGUUUAAGUUGAAAGGACAAUAUUGCUACAUAUCCCCAUUGUUUUAGUAAAAUAUAAGUGAUUUAUGUUAUGACCCCUAGGACCUACCGUCGUCGUUUGCCAGUAUAUUUAACUGUUACCAGUUGUAUAAAUAAAUUAAUGAAAUAUUAAAAUUCCGGUUUCUAUUAGAAUAAGGGCUUUUUCAUUGUAACGUAGAAACGUCGAAAACUAUGUAAGUUUUCGAAUUUUCAUAAUUCAAAGAGUAGCCGUAAACUCGCCACCUCCACACAAGUCUGACCAAGUCUGUGAAGGCAAUAUUUUUGUAAUCUUUCCCUCCAUCACAAUUAUUAAAUAACGUUUUAAGUAGAGUAAAAUCGUCCGCCUCUUGGACCAUCGUUUUGUACUUAAUAUGUCACAAUAAUUAUACUAAAACUUUCUAAAUAGUUGUGCUACGGCUUAGCGUCUAAGUAGGAAGCUGCUUUAUUUUCUGGAUCGUUAUAGGCACAAUGAAUGACGAUUAAUUACUGUAGAGCUUAUUUAUCAAUAGAUUCAGCAAAUAGUGUGCACUCUCACGGUUAUUUUGAGAUGAGCACUCGAUAUAAUUACAGUUUCAAUAGAAUAUAGACAUUUAAGAAGUUACAACGUUAUGUUAAUGUUACGAACUAGGCAACUUCAUACGGACGAGGCCCAGUUCUAUAAAAAUAUUUGUAGCUAUUGUAUAGCGAUGCUUUGUAAUAUCGGGCUUCUGGGAGGAGUGACACUGCAAAGUAUAUUAUUGCAAAUCUUGUGAUCAUUUGUAAUACGCGAGAACAAAAUAUUGUACUUAAUGAGCUGGGCUCAGUGCCAUACCCGAGUUAUGUAUUUUGCAGUGUGAGUCCAUAAAUUGAAUAAAUAUGUAUAAUAUUGUUUAUGUUUGAAAACGUGCACCCGUAGCUAAUUUGUUAAAAAUGUUUUAAGCAUCAGAUGAAGGUUUAAGGAUAGUGUCUCAGAUAUUAUAAUAUUACUAUUUACUACUAA